GAGACUGCCGGCUUUCCUGAGCGCUCCAGCUCCAGCUUGAAGGUGCAGAGGCUGUCACCAGACUGGUUGCCCAACGAAAUGGUUUAAAAUAUGUUAUGAAGCCUGGUUCCUGAUCCAGCUCACUGGGACAGAGCAAUGAUGUCAGAGAAGGACAAUCACAUCACUGUAGACUGUGAAGAAGCAGAUGACAUCAAGAAUUUCCUCUCCAGUCCCCUCAAGCACUAGAGCAAAAUAAAAUCAUUGUCUCUCCAUAAA